UCCUCAUUUCACGUGCUCUCUCAGCGGUCAGAAUGACGAGAAAGUGUGUGAAAUGAAGAGA
rfam:Pristionchus pacificus strain PS312 contig3083, whole genome shotgun sequence.